AUUGAACGCUGGCGGCAGGCCUAACACAUGCAAGUCGAGCGGGGUUUUCGGACCUAGCGGCGGACGGGUGAGUAAUGCGUAGGAGGCUGCCCGAUAGAGGGGGAUACCAGUUGGAAACGACUGUUAAUACCGCAUAAUGUCUACGGACCAAAGUGUGGGACCUUCGGGCCACAUGCUAUCGGAUGCGCCUACGUGGGAUUAGCUAGUUGGUGAGGUAAUGGCUCACCAAGGCGACGAUCUCAAGCUGGUUUGAGAGGAUGAUCAGCCACACUGGAACGGAGACACGGUCCAGACUACUACGGGAGGCAGCAGUGGGGAAUAUUGGACAAUGGGCGCAAGCCUGAUCCAGCCAUGCCGCGUGUGUGAAGAAGGCCUUCGGGUUGUAAAGCACUUUCAGCGAGGAGGAAGGGGUGUGUGUUAAUAGUACACACCUUUGACGUUACUCGCAGAAGAAGCACCGGCUAACUCUGUGCCAGCCGCCGCCGUAAAAC
rnacentral:rRNA from 1 species